UGACUGCGUACCUUUUGUAUAAUGGGUCAGCGACUUAUAUUCUGUAGCAAGGUUAACCGAAUAGGGGAGCCGGAGGGAAACCGAGUCUUAAUUGGGCGUUAAGUUGCAGGGUAUAGACCCGAAACCCGGUGAUCUAGCCAUGGGCAGGUUGAAGGUUGGGUAACACUAACUGGAGGACCGAACCGACUAAUGUUGAAAAAUUAGCGGAUGACCUGUGGCUGGGGGUGAAAGGCCAAUCAAACCGGGAGAUAGCUGGUUCUCCCCGAAAGCUAUUUAGGUAGCGCCUCGUGAAUUCAUCUCCGGGGGUAGAGCACUGUUUCGGCUAGGGGGCCAUCCCGGCUUACCAACCCGAUGCAAACUGCGAAUACCGGAGAAUGUUAUCACGGGAGACACACGGCGGGUGCUAACGUCCGUCGUGAAGAGGGAAACAACCCAGACCGCCAGCUAAGGUCCCAAAGUCAUGGUUAAGUGGGAAACGAUGUGGGAAGGCCCAGACAGCCAGGAUGUUGGCUUAGAAGCAGCCAUCAUUUAAAGAAAGCGUAAUAGCUCACUGGUCGAGUCGGCCUGCGCGGAAGAUGUAACGGGGCUAAACCAUGCACCGAAGCUGCGGCAGCGACACUCAGGUGUUGUUGGGUAGGGGAGCGUUCUGUAAGCCUGCGAAGGUGGCCUGUGAGGGUUGCUGGAGGUAUCAGAAGUGCGAAUGCUGACAUAAGUAACGAUAAAGCGGGUGAAAAGCCCGCUCGCCGGAAGACCAAGGGUUCCUGUCCAACGUUAAUCGGGGCAGGGUGAGUCGACCCCUAAGGCGAGGCCGAAAGGCGUAGUCGAUGGGAAACGGGUUAAUAUUCCCGUACUUGGUGUUACUGCGAAGGGGGGACGGAGAAGGCUAUGUUGGCCGGGCGACGGUUGUCCCGGUUUAAGCGUGUAGGUGUGUGUUCCAGGUAAAUCCGGUUCACUUUAACACUGAGGCGUGACGACGAGGCACUACGGUGCUGAAGCAACAAAUGCCCUGCUUCCAGGAAAAGCCUCUAAGCAUCAGGUAACAUCAAAUCGUACCCCAAACCGACACAGGUGGUCAGGUAGAGAAUACCAAGGCGCUUGAGAGAACUCGGGUGAAGGAACUAGGCAAAAUGGUGCCGUAACUUCGGGAGAAGGCACGCUGACAUGUAGGUGAAGUGAUUUACUCAUGGAGCUGAAGUCAGUCGAAGAUACCAGCUGGCUGCAACUGUUUAUUAAAAACACAGCACUGUGCAAACACGAAAGUGGACGUAUACGGUGUGACGCCUGCCCGGUGCCGGAAGGUUAAUUGAUGGGGUCAGCGCAAGCGAAGCUCCUGAUCGAAGCCCCGGUAAACGGCGGCCGUAACUAUAACGGUCCUAAGGUAGCGAAAUUCCUUGUCGGGUAAGUUCCGACCUGCACGAAUGGCGUAAUGAUGGCCAGGCUGUCUCCACCCGAGACUCAGUGAAAUUGAACUCGCUGUGAAGAUGCAGUGUACCCGCGGCAAGACGGAAAGACCCCGUGAACCUUUACUAUAGCUUGACACUGAACAUUGAGCCUUGAUGUGUAGGAUAGGUGGGAGGCUUUGAAGUGUGGACGCCAGUCUGCAUGGAGCCGACCUUGAAAUACCACCCUUUAAUGUUUGAUGUUCUAACGUGGACCCGUGAUCCGGGUUGCGGACAGUGUCUGGUGGGUAGUUUGACUGGGGCGGUCUCCUCCUAAAGAGUAACGGAGGAGCACGAAGGUUGGCUAAUCCUGGUCGGACAUCAGGAGGUUAGUGCAAUGGCAUAAGCCAGCUUGACUGCGAGCGUGACGGCGCGAGCAGGUGCGAAAGCAGGUCAUAGUGAUCCGGUGGUUCUGAAUGGAAGGGCCAUCGCUCAACGGAUAAAAGGUACUCCGGGGAUAACAGGCUGAUACCGCCCAAGAGUUCAUAUCGACGGCGGUGUUUGGCACCUCGAUGUCGGCUCAUCACAUCCUGGGGCUGAAGUAGGUCCCAAGGGUAUGGCUGUUCGCCAUUUAAAGUGGUACGCGAGCUGGGUUUAGAACGUCGUGAGACAGUUCGGUCCCUAUCUGCCGUGGGCGCUGGAGAACUGAGGGGGGCUGCUCCUAGUACGAGAGGACCGGAGUGGACGCAUCACUGGUGUUCGGGUUGUCAUGCCAAUGGCACUGCCCGGUAGCUAAAUGCGGAAGAGAUAAGUGCUGAAAGCAUCUAAGCACGAAACUUGCCCCGAGAUGAGUUCUCCCUGAGACUUUAGGUCUCCUGAAGGAACGUUGAAGACGACGACGUUGAUAGGCCGGGUGUGUAAGCGCAGCGAUGCGUUGAGCUAACCGGUACUAAUGAACCGUGAGGCUUAACCUUAC
rnacentral:rRNA from 3 species